rnacentral:rRNA from 1 species
AUACGUAGGUGGCGAGCGUUGUCCGGAUUUACUGGGCGUAAAGGAUGCGUAGGUGGAAAUUUAAGUGGGGUGUGAAAUCCCCGGGCUCAACCCGGGAACUGCAUUCCAAACUGGAUUUCUUGAGUACAGGAGAGGAAAGCGGAAUUCCUAGUGUAGCGGUGAAAUGCGUAGAUAUUAGGAGGAACACCAGUGGCGAAGGCGGCUUUCUGGACUGUAACUGACACUGAGGCAUGAAAGCGUGGGGAGC